GACGAACGCUGGCGGCAUGCUUAACACAUGCAAGUCGAACGGAAAGGCCCUGCUUUUGUGGGGUGCUCGAGUGGCGAACGGGUGAGUAACACGUGAGUAACCUGCCCUUGACUUUGGGAUAACUUCAGGAAACUGGGGCUAAUACCGGAUAGGAGCUCCUGCUGCAUGGUGGGGGUUGGAAAGUUUCGGCGGUUGGGGAUGGACUCGCGGCUUAUCAGCUUGUUGGUGGGGUAGUGGCUUACCAAGGCUUUGACGGGUAGCCGGCCUGAGAGGGUGACCGGCCACAUUGUGACUGAGAUACGGCCCAGACUCCUACGGGAGGCAGCAGUGGGGAAUAUUGCACAAUGGGCGGAAGCCUGAUGCAGCAACGCCGCGUGCGGGAUGACGGCCUUCGGGUUGUAAACCGCUUUCGCCUGUGACGAAGCGUGAGUGACGGUAAUGGGUAAAGAAGCACCGGCUAACUACGUG
rnacentral:rRNA from 1 species